rnacentral:rRNA from 1 species
UGAGGAAUAUUGGGUCAAUGGACGGGAGUCUGAACCAGCCAAGUAGCGUGCAGGAUGACGGCCCUAUGGGUUGUAAACUGCUUUUGUGCGGGGAUAAAGUGUGGGACGUGUCCCAUAUUGCAGGUACCGCAUGAAUAAGGACCGGCUAAUUCCGUGCCAGCAGCCGCGGUAAUACGGAAGGUCCGGGCGUUAUCCGGAUUUAUUGGGUUUAAAGGGAGCGUAGGCCGGAGAUUAAGCGUGUUGUGAAAUGUAGUGGCUCAACCUCUGCACUGCAGCGCGAACUGGUCUUCUUGAGUACGCACAACGUGGGCGGAAUUCGUGGUGUAGCGGUGAAAUGCUUAGAUAUCACGAAGAACUCCGAUUGCGAAGGCAGCUCACGGGAGCGCAACUGACGCUGAAGCUCGAAAGUGCGGGUAUCGAACAGGAUUAGAUACCCUGGUAGU